UGGUCAAGCAAAAAAGAGCGCAGGGUGGAUGCUUGGCACUAAGAGCCGAUGAAAGACGUGAUAAGCUGCGAAAAGCUGCGGGGAGGAGCAAAUAUCCACUGAUCCGCAGAUGUCUGAAUGGGGAAACCCGCAUGAGCAAC
rnacentral:rRNA from 1 species